rnacentral:rRNA from 1 species
GACGAACGCUGGCGGCAUGCCUAAUACAUGCAAGUCGAGCGAACAGAUGAAGUGCUUGCACUUCUGACGUUAGCGGCGAACGGGUGAGUAACACGUAAGGAAUCUACCUAUAAGCGGGGGAUAACAUUCGGAAACGGGUGCUAAUACCGCAUAAUAUCUUCUUCCGCAUGGAAGAAGAUUGAAAGACGGCUCUGCUGUCACUUAUAGAUGACCUUGCGGUGCAUUAGUUAGUUGGUGGGGUGAUGGCCUACCAAGACGAUGAUGCAUAGCCGACCUGGGAGGGUGAUCGGCCACAUUGGGACUGAGACACGGCCCAAACUCCGACGGGAGGCAGCAGUAGGGAAUCUUCCGCAAUGGGCGAAAGCCUGACGGAGCAAUGCCGCGUGAGUGAAGAAGACCUUCGGGUCGUAAAACUCUGUUAUAAGAGAAGAACAAAUUGUAGAGUAACUGCUACAGUCUUGACGGUAUCUUAUCAGAAAGCCACGGCUAACUACGUGCCAGCAGCCGCCGUAA